ACAAAUAUUGCUUACUCACGUGUUAACUGUACAUUAAUUUCAUUUGCUUCUUCAGUUUUUAAUUUACCAAAACACAACAAUAAAAAAGUUUUACACAUGUGACCGUCCACAAGAAAGAGGAGCUUGGUCUUAAGGGGCAAAGUUUUCAGUAGUGGGUUUGGUAGGAUUGAGUAUCAAAUCAGACUUGGAUUUUAUCAGAGGCAAGUAUCCUAAUGAGUUGCAAACAGUUUUCUUUAUUUUGACCUUGGUAGAAGCCCUAAACAGCGAUAUUGAAAACUGAUCCUGCAAUGCCUGCCUGCUUGUAAAUGUCUGUGAGCUGAUUACUGGCCAGAAUAUGGUUGCCUAGGAGAGCUGCGAUGACACAUAGUUUAUCAGCAGUGAUAUUCAAUUCUUUCAACAGCUCAGGAAUAAUGUAUUCCUUUGUUUCUAAGGAACCCUGAAGCAUAAAAUGACAGAACCUCAUGCUUACCUUGUAGGUUAACUUCAGUUGCUUGGCAGAGAAGUAACGAUUGUAAUUGAAGGCAGUAUAUUCACCAUCAUCAGCAAUUAGACCUUGUACAUUGUUUUCAUGACAGUAGGCAAUAACUUCUUGUUUAUGGUCUUCCAACGUACAAAUGACAUUCACUUUGAUUUGAUGCAUGACAAUGAUGCGAAGGGCAGACUGCAGACCAAUCGGUGGCUGCCACCACACUUUGGGAGGAGGAGUUCCUUUGGAUUGAACAUGCUUCAGUACCUGAAAUGGAAUGUCACUUGCAUCAAGUUAAACAUUUAAUCAAUGAUCAAUGAGUGAAUGACCUGAUGACACAUGAAAUUCCAUUCUGAUCAGACAGUGUUACAUUGAGGUGUUGAAAUUCACUUACUGAGUCAAUGUUUUGCCGUGACUGGAGCUGUUGAUUGACCCAGUCGCGAAUGCGAUGGGAUUCUACGCAUCCAUUGAGGAAGAAAGUUUGGUGGUUUGAACGUGACGCCUGGCAAGCCUGACCAAAUCAACAGAGACAUUAGAUCCCUCGACAGAGCCGCUUUCAAGAAAAUGUUGCAAGUGUUUAGUGCUCAUGAUGACCAAAUUGAAUUUCACGCCAGUUUAGAUGAAACUCUCCCAGAGACAAAUUAUUGAUUUGCCGAAAAUUACGAGAGCAUAACACAACCUAGAAAAGAAUCAAGUGAAAAACAUUGUUCAGAUAAUAAUGGUGGUAAAUAAAUGCAGAUAAUUUCACUAAAAAAUAUCUAGCAGACUUUUAUUUCCCUUUGAUCUUCUUUUCGAUCAUGGCUUUUUAUAUUCCUGUUCUGGUUGUCCUAUUAGGUACCCAUAGUUAUCAAUUUAUUAAUCUUGUUUCAUUGUUGUGUUUAUUCGAAUUGAAUCACAACAUUUUAUCAUCACUUGAUUCUACUUGCAUUGUAACAAAUUUAAUUUAUGACCUGUUUCAAAAAAUUAGUUGCUUCUUUUGCUUAAAUGUGUUCAGGUGUCAUCUACCUCCUACGAGUUCUUCAAGUGACUUUUCUGCUUUGAUUGAAACUAACACAGCGUUGUCAAAUAUGUUCUUGAUAUUAUUAUGAGUAAUUAUUGUUCAUAUAUUGAAUGCAUGCUCCUGAUUUGAUUCGCAGUUGAACGAAGUAAUUGCACGUAAAUGCAAUUGAUUGAGAGAUAUAAGUCUACUCAACAUUGAUCUAUAGACAGGAGAGAUGCUGUCACAGAAAAAGCAGCCUCCAGCUCAGAAGUUACAAUCGGGCCUACACAAGAAGACCUGCAGACAUCGUAAUAAGCCGUCAUAAUACUUAGUUACACAUAAAGUUGCAUAAUCCAAUUGACUCAGGAAAUAUUAUCAGCUAUUCUGAACGAUACAAAAUCCCUCUAUGGAAUAAAAGACUGGCUGGAAUGAUUGGUCUUAUUCCAAAUGAAAAAGGGGGGAUUGUAUAAUUUUAUAACAAUUGAUAAUAGAAUGCAAAUGCCAGAGGAAUGGGUAUCGAGAAUGUUCAAAUGAAUCGUUACUGAUUUGCGGACAAUGAAAAAUUCUUCCGUAAUCUGAGGCGUACAUCCAUUCUGCAUUCAUGGAACUUCUAGCCAUGUCAUAACUUAGGUACUAAAAAAUAAUUCGAUGGAGGAGCCGGUUGGAUGAGCCAAAGGCACUGUCUUCCUAAACAGAGUCGGUAGGAUACAUGAAGCGUUAGAAUACAGUAGACAGCGUAGACAAUCAGCCACCUUGACCUAUGACAAGGACAGUAUUCCUGAAGAAUUGGAGAAGGAGCAGAAAUCACAAUCCAGGGGAGAAAUAUUUGCGAGAGCUUAAGAGCUCACGGGGUAAGAGACAUGAUGAUCAGGGGAAGUCCUUCCUCCCAGACAUUUCUCCAUCUUCAUUUAAUUGCAGUUCUUAACCCCAAAA